AACGAACGCUGGCGGCAUGCCUAACACAUGCAAGUCGAACGAGACCUUCGGGUCCAGUGGCGCACGGGUGCGUAACGCGUGGGAACCUGCCCUUAGGUUCGGAAUAACUCCCCGAAAGGGGUGCUAAUACCGGAUAAUGUCUUCGGACCAAAGAUUUAUCGCCUUUGGAUGGGCCUGCGUUGGAUUAGCUAGUUGGUAGGGUAAAAGCCUACCAAGGCGACGAUCCAUAGCUGGUCUGAGAGGAUGGUCAGCCACACUGGGACUGAGACACGGCCCAGACUCCUACGGGAGGCAGCAGUGGGGAAUAUUGGACAAUGGGCGAAAGCCUGAUCCAGCAAUGCCGCGUGAGUGAUGAAGGCCUUAGGGUUGUAAAGCUCUUUUACCCGGGAUGAUAAUGACAGUACCGGGAGAAUAAGCUCCGGCUAACUCCGUG
rnacentral:rRNA from 1 species